ACAAUCAGCUAGUUAUUCAUUUAUUUAUCAGAAGAAAAGAUGCACACAGAGACAAAGGAAGAAUUGUUGAAGUUCGCUUUUAUUGGCGGGAGAAUUCACUUUAUUUUCCAGAACAAGUUCAAUUGGUCUAGUGCAGACAAUUCAUUUUUUCGGCAUAAAGGGUUCAAUUCAUGCACGAGGAAAAAAGUCUGAAUUUUUUUGUCACGAAGUUCACUAUUUUGAAAUCCGGAAGUUAGCUUUUGUUGCUAAUUUUUCUUCUACUUCUGCAUGGUGCGUGGUACUAAUUAAAUUACCCUCUGUUAAUGUCACUUGCAUUUUUCUUUGAUGUCUCAAAUUGUAUGGUGUAAUCAAGCUUGAUUGUAACUAUGAUGAGGUUGUAGUAAACGUGGAAUGUUGCUAUGCUGCCCAGUAUUUAGUACCACAACCUGCUUUUAGCACAUGUUUGGAUAGAACAAUAUACCAAUUUUUGAUAUCUUUGUGCCAGAUUCACCUGCAAGUUCACUUUGUGUAAAAUGGCAAGUUUACUUUUUAUUUUGGGGGAGUUCGUUUUAUGCGUUCUGUUGUUAUUGAUGUGUGGCUGAUAGAAAGAGAAUAGAAGUUCACUUUUUUUCUAUUGACAAGUUCACUUUUAUAUUUCUAGGAAUUUGGGAAGCACCAGACAACUCUCUAUUUGUUGUCCGGCCGGUGGAGUCCAUUAGAAGUUCAGAUGGAGGAUCCCAGCAUCAAAAGUGCCCACAAGCAGCAUUGCAACGAGCUGGGAGUUCUUUGCGGCUGGCUCCCACGGUUGUCACUGCAAGUCAUGCUCUUCAUUGCGUUUGGAUGAAGCAGCCAAGCACAAGUGCACAACAGGAAUAAAGAUGUGGAGAUGAAGAGCUCACUUUUCAUAAUCCGUGGAGUUCAUUUCUCCUAAUUCGUGAAGUUCACAUCUCCUGCUACUUUAGUUCAGAUAUUCUUCCUAGAUGGACUAUUAUUUCAUUUCUUUUUGAUAGUGUAAAGCUCCAUGUACAGAAAUGCAGCUACACUGGAGUUUCACUCGUGUAUCCUCGACAGUCCAGAGGGCUUCUCGAUGGAGUCCAGCACAUGACCACAUCUUUCGGCAGUCUAGGGUGUGUCGCUGGGAAGUCCACCUGCGGCUCCCCUGGCAGUCAAGUGCGCUCCAACAGGAAGUACACCUUCCGUGGCGGAAGUACACCCCAAAACAUGGCAUUAUUACGGUAUAAGUAAUUGAAGUGAGCUCCUAGUUAUAUGUUGUUAUUUUCUUCUACCUCUGCUUCUAGCA